rnacentral:rRNA from 1 species
UACGAAGGGGGCUAGCGUUGUUCGGAAUUACUGGGCGUAAAGCGCACGCAGGCGGUUUGUUAAGUCAGAUGUGAAAUCCCCGGGCUCAACCUGGGAACUGCAUUUGAAACUGGCAAGCUUGAGUCUUGUAGAGGGGGGUAGAAUUCCAGGUGUAGCGGUGAAAUGCGUAGAGAUCUGGAGGAAUACCGGUGGCGAAGGCGGCCCCCUGGACAAAGACUGACGCUCAGGUGCGAAAGCGUGGGGAGCAAACAGG